UUGCUCAGUUUGGCAGCACAUAUACUAAAAUUGGAAUGAUACAGAGAAGAUUAGCAUGGCCCUUGCACAAGGAUGACAUGCAAAUUCGUGAAGUAUUCCAUAUUUUU
rnacentral:snRNA from 1 species